GGCCCAUUAGCUCAGUCGGUUAGAGCAAACGACUCAUAAUCGUUGGGUCUCCCGUUCGAGCCGGGAAUGGGCCACCA
rnacentral:tRNA from 1 species